CAGAGCUCCACAGCAAUAAUACUCCCAGUAAUGUGUAGCUCUGUUAUACACUGAUAAACAUUACUGGGAGUAUUAUUGCUGUGGAGCUCUGUU